rnacentral:rRNA from 1 species
GUUUGCGAGCUACCGUGCAGACCCAGCUUAACCUCCAGCUUGCUGGGCUGGAUGAUUGGCGGCGGUUGUUUAACAGGCUUGUAACCUUCCCUUGACUCUGCCCUAAGCCCGGGAAACUGGGUCUAAUACCGGAUAUGACCUCCUGUCGCAUGGUGGGGGGUGGAAAGAUUUAUCGGUCUUGGAUGGACUCGUGGCCUAUCCGCUUGUUGGUGAGGUAAUGUUUCCCCAAGGCGACGACGGGUAGCCCGCCUGACAGGGUGCCCGGCCACACUGGGACUGAGACACGGCCCAAACUCCUACGGGAGGCAGCAGUGCGGAAUAUUGCACAAUGGGUGCAAGCCUGAUGCACCGACCCCCCUUGAGGGAUGACCGCCUUCGCCUUGUAAACCUCUUUCAUUAUGGAAGAACGUUCGGGUGACGGUACCUGCAAAAGAAGCGCCGGCUAACUUCUUGCCCCCUUCCUCUCUAAUACGUAC